rnacentral:rRNA from 1 species
AACGAACGCUGGCGGCAUGCCUAACACAUGCAAGUCGAACGAGACCUUCGGGUCUAGUGGCGCACGGGUGCGUAACGCGUGGGAACCUGCCCUUAGGUUCGGAAUAACUCCCCGAAAGGGGUGCUAAUACCGGAUAAUGUCUUCGGACCAAAGAUUUAUCGCCUUUGGAUGGGCCCGCGUUGGAUUAGCUAGUUGGUAGGGUAAAAGCCUACCAAGGCGACGAUCCAUAGCUGGUCUGAGAGGAUGAUCAGCCACACUGGGACUGAGACACGGCCCAGACCCCUACGGGGGGCGGGGGUGGGGAAAAUUGGGAAAGGGGCAAAAGCCUGAUCCAGCAAUGCCGGGUGGGUGAUGAAGGGCUUGGGGUUGUAAAGCUCUUUUACCCGGGAUGAAAAUGACAGUACCGGGAAAAAAAGCCCCGGCUAACCCCGU